CCUACGGGGGGCAGCAGUGGGGAAUAUUGGGCAAUGGGCGCAAGCCUGACCCAGCAACGCCGCGUGAAGGAAGAAGGCUUUCGGGUUGUAAACUUCUUUUGUCAGGGAAGAGUAGAAGACGGUACCUGCCGAAUAAGCCACGGCUAACUACGUGCCAGCAGCCGCGGUAAUACGUAGGUGGCAAGCGUUGUCCGGAUUUACUGGGUGUAAAGGGCGUGUAGCCGGGUUGACAAGUCAGAUGUGAAAUCCUGCGGCUUAACCGCAGAACUGCAUUUGAAACUGUUGAGCUUGAGUGCGGGAGAGGCAGACGGAAUUCCUAGUGUAGCGGUGAAAUGCGUAGAGAUUAGGAGGAACACCAGUGGCGAAGGCGGUCAGCUGGACAGCAACUGACGGUGAGGCGCGAAAGCGUGGGGAGCAAACAGGAUUAGAUACCCUUGUAGUC
rnacentral:rRNA from 1 species